AAUAUUCAGACCACCCAGAUGAAAUGUCAUGGCAAAUUUGAUAAAAACCAAGAGGGAGUGAAACUGACGCUGGGGGAGGAAAGGGUCAAGUCGAGGGAAGGACACCAUCACUCCAGAGACAGUAUGGUAACAAAGGGACAGGAAUGGUCCAGGCCAGCUUCAGGCUCUUCAGAAGCCAGAGAGAUGUCCAAGUCUACCAA
rnacentral:lncRNA from 1 species